rnacentral:rRNA from 1 species
CUACGGGGGGCUGCAGUGAGGAAUAUUGCACAAUGGGGGGAACCCUGAUGCAGCAACGCCGCGUGGAGGAUGACGCAUUUCGGUGUGUAAACUCCUUUUAUAUGUCAAGAAAAUGACGGUAGCAUAUGAAUAAGCACCGGCUAACUCCGUGCCAGCAGCCGCGGUAAUACGGAGGGUGCAAGCGUUACUCGGAAUCACUGGGCGUAAAGGACGCGUAGGCGGGUUGAAAGUCAGGUGUGAAAUCCUACAGCUUAACUGUAGAACUGCACUUGAAACUUCUAAUCUAGAGUAUGGGAGGGGGAGAUGGAAUUAGUGGUGUAGGGGUAAAAUCCGUAGAUAUCACUAGGAAUACCUAAAGCGAAGGCGAUCUCCUGGAACAUUACUGACGCUAAGGCGUGAAAGCGUGGGGAGCAAACAGGAUUAGAUACCCUAGUAGUC